AAGGCAGGCGCCGCACUCCUGUUCUGGGCUAUUUCAACUUCAGGGCAACUUUAGAGAACUUCAGUUAUUUUUGGUUCUGGACGACAGCUGAGACCAGCAGAGCCUUCUGGAGAUGCUGAUGCUGAUGCAGAAGAUGAUGAUUCUGUUAAUGAAGUGGCAGUAGAAGAUAUCCGGCCAAGACCACAAGG